CACGUAGGGCGCAAGCGUUGUCCGGAAUUAUUUGGCGUAAAGAGCUCGUAGGCUGUCUGUUGCGUCCGCUGUGAAAACCCGGGGCUUAACCCCUGGCUUGCAGUGGAUACGGACAGACUAGAGGUAGGUAGGGGAGAAUGGAAUUCCCGGUGUAGCGGUGGAAUGCGCAGAUAUCAGGAGGAACACCGGUGGCGAAGGCGGGUCUCUGGGCAGUAACUGACGCUGAGGAGCGAAAGCGUGGGGAGCGAACAGG
rnacentral:rRNA from 1 species